rnacentral:rRNA from 1 species
UAGGGAAUAUUCCGCAAUGGGCGAAAGCCUGACGGAGCGACGCCGCGUGAGCGAUGAAGGUCUUCGGAUCGUAAAGCUCUGUUGUUAGGGAAGAACAAGUACCGGAGUAACUGCCGGUACCUUGACGGUACCUAACCAGAAAGCCCCGGCUAACUACGUGCCAGCAGCCGCGGUAAUACGUAGGGGGCGAGCGUUGUCCGGAAUUAUUGGGCGUAAAGGGCGCGUAGGCGGUCUCUUAAGUCUGAUGUGAAAGCCCCCGGCUUAACCGGGGAGGGUCAUUGGAAACUGGGAGACUUGAGUGCAGGAGAGGGAAGCGGAAUUCCAUGUGUAGCGGUGAAAUGCGUAGAGAUAUGGAGGAACACCAGUGGCGAAGGCGGCUUCCUGGCCUGUAACUGACGCUGAGGCGCGAAAGCGUGGGGAGCAAACAGG